UAGUCUGCAAGUUGAUUGGGUUGAAUUAGAUAUAAUUUUUUUGCAAAAGGAACCAAGCACAAUAUUAAAGAUUAACGGCCAUCAUCAGAUACUAAUAUACAUUUUGAUUUAAGGUAAAUAAUAACUUAAGUAUAACAACGAUUUAAAUAACAAAAAGCAAUGGAAUCUCUAUUCUUGUAACCAAUUCAUAAUUAGUUAUAGUAUUAUGUCACUAAAUUUAUUGAAUAAACUAGGCUACUUCUCAAUUUUCGCAAAAGAACUAGCUUAAGAAUUGCGUAAAAAAAGGAAAGUGCAUUUAUAACGUUAAACAAAUACAGCAAACAAAUAGCGUUCAAUAAAUACAACUAAUUAGUUUCAGAAAGUUGUCACAUCGGCGCUGUCGGUCAGAAGCGUACCUUACUCGACGGAUUGGUUCGACCCACUUUUUGACAGUUGAUAGUUUUGUCGUCUUCGAAACAGUAAUUCUGAUUACAAGGAUAAAAUAGGGACACGUGCAGAGCGAGGUGCACUUUUGAUUAACAGCGCCGAGAUGGCUACUUUGUGAAAAACAACAGUUUCAGUCACAAGUCUUGUCUCUAAAAUAUAUUUAGCACGUGUUUCGCCAUUUUACGUGGCAUCCUCAGACCUAUUUAAACAUCUAAUAAAACCGGGACGGAAAUUUAAGACGUGCACAUGUUCAGACGUGUUUUUCAAAUACACUGGCCCGCAAAAUUAACCGGACAACGAAAAUUUGGUUCAAAUUCAAUCCUAAAUAACUUUUUCAGUAUUGCAUCGAUUUUGAUGGAUUUUUGCCGAGUUUUAGGCCGUUUUAUUGUCAUAUUUUUUCAUAUCGAAGCUACACAAAGUUAUACAGGGGUUAAUAAAAAGUUGAAUUUUACUCUAAACACCCUAAGGAAAAAAUUCUCAACUGAAUAAUGAUUCUUUCUGCUGUAUUUUCAAAUUGUUUCUUUAAUUAUUCCGAUAUCUGUAUGUCUAAAGAAAAAGCACUGGCUUAAAGGAAAUAAUGCAAUAAUGCUUUAGUAGCAAGAAUUGGCCUUUAAAAAUAUUGCCAAGUUGGCUGUUAUGACAAAAUAAAAAAGUAGAAGUUUCCAUGACACCGUGUCAUGUCAAAAAGAUUCUUGUCAACGAAUUACAGAUUUAAUUUUGCUUUACAUUUUUAAGUUAUUUUUGAAAGUGUGUUUCGGAGCUGUGGCGUAAGCGAUACGUUUAAAAAUGAUGAGCUCAGAAGAAGUGACAGAAGCCGUUGCUCUAAGAGACGAUGGUCUUCCGCUUAGGUAUAUUGCAGAAAGGAUUGGUCAUCCACGCAGUACGGUGUCCGAUGCGAUACAAACUGGUUAUUCAAGUAGAUCUGGACAGGGAAGACAAGGGACCACAAACGCAGUUGAGGAUCGAUUUCUUCGUCUUCCAGUUUUUCGAGAACGAACAGCUGCUCCAGCUUUGAUAAGAAGACUGGCAGAUGUUCACGGUCCUUUAUUACUUGCGGGUCACCGAAGGCUGCGUCUGGAGUUUGCUCGAACACACGCAGAUUGGGAUAUAGACGAAUGGCGAAAUGUUCUUUUUACAGACGAGUCGUUUUACGACACAUUCACCUGGCGGACGCCAAGGAGCAUGGAGCAGGCCCGGAGAAAGAUACUCUCAAUGUUGUAUCUUUCCUUGAGUGCAAUUUGAUGGAUGUUGGGGGUGGUAUUUCACUGGAAUUGCCCAUGCAGACCUUGUUACACUUCAAGGGGGUAUUAACGCCAAUAGAUACAUUAGGGAGUGCUUAGAAAAACAUGUGGUGCCUUAUGAGUCAUUUAUAGGAGAACAUUUUAUCUUGGUACAAGAGAAUACUUUAGCAGCUUUCUUGAACUGCAUUUUAUUUAAAAUUUUAAAUAUAAAGGCGACGCUUCAAUACUCUGUCAACCAAAGGUUAAUUUGUGCAUUUUACUAAGAACCCUAAAUAUAGGAAGUCGUACCGUG